GCCGAAAUAGCUCAGUUGGGAGAGCGCACGUUCGACUGAAGAUCUAAGGUCCCUGGUUCAAUCCGGGUUUCGGCG
rnacentral:tRNA from 1 species